AGGACGAACGCUGGCGGCGUGCUUAACACAUGCAAGUCGAACGGUAAGGCCCUUCGGGGUACACGAGUGGCGAACGGGUGAGUAACACGUGGGUGAUCUGCCCUGCACUUCGGGAUAAGCUUGGGAAACUGGGUCUAAUACCGGAUAUGACUACGAAUCGCAUGGUUUGUGGUGGAAAGCUUUUGCGGUGUGGGAUGGGCCCGCGGCCUAUCAGCUUGUUGGUGGGGUGAUGGCCUACCAAGGCGACGACGGGUAGCCGGCCUGAGAGGGUGUCCGGCCACACUGGGACUGAGAUACGGCCCAGACUCCUACGGGAGGCAGCAGUGGGGAAUAUUGCACAAUGGGCGCAAGCCUGAUGCAGCGACGCCGCGUGAGGGAUGACGGCCUUCGGGUUGUAAACCGUCUUUCAGUAUCGACGAAGCGCAAGUGACGGUAGGUACAGAAGAAGGACCGGCCAACUACGUGCCAGCAGCCGCGGUAA
rnacentral:rRNA from 1 species